GAAUGCUACUUUUAUAAUUAAUGGCUAAAACGGUAGAAAACUAAUACCUGCUUUUCCUUCCUUUGGCUACACAACUCCCAGAAUGUAUUCCUUGAUCAAAAGGCACCAGGGAAUACCCUCUUCAAGUUUGUUGCAACAUAUGAAGGUGAAGAAGAAG